AAUUAUUUCUUUCAUCCAUCCAUAAAUCCUUUCCCAUUUAUAUGAAAUUCCUACACUUGCUAGCCCCUUUCCCGUCCAAUACUCAUUUGAUAAUUUUUUAUUUCCCUUGAAAAAAUGUGAGAAUAAUGGACAAGUAUAAUCCCCCCUACAAGGUUGAAACACUGACAACUUCUGGGUUACUGUAAGAAACUCUGGCUUUGGAUGCACUGAAGGUUUAAUGUUACAAGCAGUCUUUGCGUCAACACUUAAGUAUCUAGCAUCAUCAUCUUUUAAAGCUGCCAAACCAUCUUCCCCAGCCAGAUCACCCAAGCUAACACUUUCUUGAGAGCCACUACCAUUAUGAUAUGAUUUUGCCUCUGAUUCCGAACUAGCAAGAGGAUUUACAAGACUCCAUAUCUGCCCCACUGCUGA
rnacentral:misc_RNA from 1 species